rnacentral:piRNA from 1 species
UGGUGAGAGCACACCUGAACAAAGGAAAA